rnacentral:rRNA from 1 species
UACGAACCGUCCAAACGUUACUCGGAAUCACUGGGCUUAAAGGGUGCGUAGGCCGCGCGGAGGGUGGGAUGUGAAAUCCCCCGGCUCAACCGGGGAAUAGCGUCCCAAACCGCCGUGCUCGAGGGAGACAGAGGUGAGCGGAACUGAUGGUGGAGCGGUGAAAUGCGUUGAUAUCAUCAGGAACACCAGUGGCGAAAGCGGCUCACUGGGUCUUUCCUAACGCUGAGGCACGGAAGCUAGGGGAGCGAACGGG